CCUACGGGAGGCAGCAGUGGGGAAUAUUGGACAAUGGGGGCAACCCUGAUCCAGCCAUGCCGCGUGUGUGUAGAAGGCCCUCGGGUUGUAAAGCACUUUCAGCGAGGAAGAACGCCUAGCGGUUAAUACCCGCUAGGAAAGACAUCACUCGCAGAAGAAGCACCGGCUAACUCCGUGCCAGCAGCCGCGGUAAUACGGAGGGUGCAAGCGUUAAUCGGAAUUACUGGGCGUAAAGCGCGCGUAGGUGGCUUGAUAAGCCGGUUGUGAAAGCCCCGGGCUCAACCUGGGAACGGCAUCCGGAACUGUCAAGCUAGAGUGCAGGAGAGGAAGGUAGAAUUCCCGGUCUAGCGGUGAAAUGCGUAGAGAUCGGGAGGAAUACCAGUGGCGAAGGCGGCCUUCUGGACUGACACUGACACUGAGGUGCGAAAGCGUGGGUAGUAAACAGGAUUAGAUACCCUGGUAGUCCACGCCGUAAACGAUGUCGACCAGCCGUUGGGUGCCUAGCGCACUUUGUGGCGAAGUUAACGCGAUAAGUCGACCGCCUGGGGAGUACGGCCGCAAGGUUAAAACUCAAAUGAAUUGACGGA
rnacentral:rRNA from 1 species